UAAUACGGAGGGUGCAAGCGUUAAUCGGAAUUACUGGGCGUAAAGCGUGCGUAGGCGGCUUACUAAGCCAGAUGUGAAAGCCCUGGGCUUAACCUGGGAACUGCAUUUGGAACUGGUGGGCUAGAGUUGAGUAGAGGUAAGUGGAAUUUCAGGUGUAGCGGUGAAAUGCGUAGAGAUCUGAAGGAACACCAGUGGCGAAGGCGACUUACUGGACUCAAACUGACGCUGAGGUACGAAAGCGUGGGUAGCAAACAGG
rnacentral:rRNA from 1 species